rfam:Gossypium raimondii Chr10_contig_1085, whole genome shotgun sequence.
AAUCCAUGGUAAAAGCACUUUCGUAUCAUUUAUUUGAAUCACUCUUAUGCUUCAUACAGUGAUUCACCUUUGAAUUGUUUAAAAUUGGCGAUGUCGCAUUUGAGUUG